GUUGACCUCGGAUCAGGUAGGAAUACCCGCUGAACUUAAGCAUAUCAAUAAGCGGA
rnacentral:rRNA from 5 species